rnacentral:rRNA from 1 species
GAUGAACGCUAGCGGCAGGCCUAACACAUGCAAGUCGAGGGAGAAGCCCUUUCGGGGGCAGAAACCGGCGCACGGGUGCGUAACGCGUAUGCAACCUACCUUUCACAGGGGGAUAGCCCGAAGAAAUUUGGAUUAAUACCCCAUAAUAUUAUUGGAUGGCAUCAUUUGAUAAUUAAAACUGCGGUGGUGAAAGAUGGGCAUGCGUCCUAUUAGCUAGUUGGAGUGGUAACAGCACCCCAAGGCUACGAUAGGUAGGGGUCCUGAGAGGGAGAUCCCCCACACUGGUGCUGAGGCAGGGACCAGACUCCUACGGGAGGCAGCAAUGAGGAAUAGUAGGCAAUGGUCGGAAGACUGAACCAGCCGUGCCGCGUGCAGGAAGAAUGCGUUAUGGGUUGUAAACUGCUUUUAUAUGGGAAGAAUAAGGCGUACGUGUACGUUGAUGACGGUACCAUAUGAAUAAGCAUCGGCUAACUCCGUG